rnacentral:rRNA from 1 species
GACGAACGCUGGCGGCGUGCUUAACACAUGCAAGUCGAACGGAAAGGCCCUGCUUGCAGGGUACUCGAGUGGCGAACGGGUGAGUAACACGUGGGUGAUCUGCCCUGCACUUCGGGAUAAGCCUGGGAAACUGGGUCUAAUACCGGAUAGGAGCCAUUUUUAGUGUGAUGGUUGGAAAGUUUUUUCGGUGUAGGAUGAGCUCGCGGCCUAUCAGCUUGUUGGUGGGGUAAUGGCCUACCAAGGCGGCGACGGGUAGCCGGCCUGAGAGGGUGGACGGCCACAUUGGGACUGAGAUACGGCCCAGACUCCUACGGGAGGCAGCAGUGGGGAAUAUUGCACAAUGGGCGCAAGCCUGAUGCAGCGACGCCGCGGGGGGGAUGACGGCCUUCGGGUUGGAAACUCCUUUCGCUAGGGACGAAGCUUUUUGUGACGGUACCUAGAGAAGAAGCACCGGCUAACUACGUG